rnacentral:misc_RNA from 1 species
AUUCGCUUCGCGGGCAUUCCAGUUGCGGCUCCGAUAAAAAAAUCAACAGUCAGUUGGUGUUGUAAGUAGUGGCUGUGCAGUUGUUAGUGUUUGUUUGUGAAAGAAUUAUUAAUUAAACACGCAUAAAUAUUUAAAACAAUAACAUGAGUUACGCGUUCAUAAUUGUGGUGUCUGUGGCGAUAACCCUUAAGUUGCUCUUCCUGAGUUUUUCUCUGUAUUUCACUCUUAAGCAGAGGAACCCUAAAGCGGUGCAGAACCAUCCGCCGCAAAACAGCAGCUCUCUGGCUCUAUCAUGGAAGAAGAUCUCGCGUGUUUUCAUGCCAGCAGGCUUGUAUUGCCCUGAACAGGCUAGUAAAAACAAUAAACUCUAUCAGUGAU